UAUAAUUUUUGACUCUUCGUCUUAUUUAAAUUUUUUUGCGAUUUAUAUUUUUGUUUUUAUUAGAAGAUAAAUCAUAAAUAGUACUUUACGUGUGACUAAUUUUUUUUCUAAUUUUCUAAAAUUUUAUAAAUAAGACGGAUGAUGAACACGUUGGACACGGGAAAC
rnacentral:pre_miRNA from 1 species